UUUAUUCACAGAUGACAUGAUAGUCUUUGUAGAAAAUCUAAAAGAAUUCCUGGAACGAAUAAGUGAUUAUAGCUAAGAUUAUUGCAAGAUACAAGGCUAAUAUACAAAAAGCAGCAUGCACAUCCCUUAGUGAUGGAUCACACAUUACCAUCACUAGCUUCAUGCUUUCUUGUGACAGUCCUGCCUAUCACUGAGAAGCCCUAAUAUAAUCUCCAAGCAGCUGUGGGAGUCCGUGAGAAGAUUUGGCAGCUUCUUACCAAUCAUCUGAUUAGGUAGGAAAUUGUGCAGAUAUAAAUCUUGGAAAGAGUAGAAGCCCCCUGAGCUUCCUCUUCCUGUGACUCCUUCUCUUGAGUCUGCAGGCACUGUCUUCACCUGUCAGAACGGGCAGUUUCCCUUUAGGUCCUCGCACCCCACUCUUCAUCCCCCACCUUUUGUUUACAUUUGAUUCCCCAGGCUACUCAGAAAAUGGCUAAUGGUCAUAGGGGUUUAAUCUAAAUGGGCUCUUGGCAACAACAAACUUCAUGCUUAGUCAAAGACAUGUGUUAGAACUGGGCUGUUAGGUAGAGCUCUCAAAAUGUGUGGGUGAAGAAUGCUGGAAGUGAGGUGAGGAACUUUCGUGCUCUUGUGCUAAGAGCUCUGGGUGCUCUUAGCAGUGCAUACUGCCAGGAAGCCAAGAACCCAUUUUCCAUGAUGCCCAAAGUACAAUACGCUGAAUUCAAGGAGGCCCUGCCAUAUAACAGACGCAACAGAAGGAAAAUUUGUGCCUCCUACUCUCGAAGAGACCUAAAUAUAGUUAAUAUCUGAGGAUUCUGACUAUUGGAAAGAGGCAAGGUAACGUCGUUCCUUCUCUCUCAUUCUCUCUCUCUGUGCACGCACUUGCACACGUAAGGUACUGAUUCCUGCUAAUCACCAGUCUGCUCACAUACAUACACAGUUCCUUAACAACAUUCUUCAUUUCUUCACCAAAUCAAGUACUGCUGCUCGAGUUCUCACUUUCUUUUGGCCUUUCUGGCUUUGGUUCUCCUCCGACUCUCCAGCCACCCUUCCUGUCUCCAUAGGGCCACGUGAGCAGGUGAGCAUUACAAUGCUCGAGUCUGCUGCCUCUGGGGGUUUCUUCCACAAGACUCUAUUCUUUCGAGUUGUUUCAAAAUCCUCUCCACCAUCCUUACUUUGUAGCCCUUCUUCUAUGCAUCACUCCAGGGUCAACCACUCCCAGAAUAUUGGCCACUAAGGGGUUCCUGCUUUCUUUCCCAGUCAAGCACACACUGAAGGAAGCCCUGAUUAUUCUGACAAAACUUUCUGUGCAUUCAGAAUAAACUCUUGAUGGCGUCCUGGAAACCUGUGCGAGCAGCCAGCCAGAUUGCUGCCAGCCAACUCCAGGAAGAACCAAAAGGGCUUCAUCUUCAAGAAGAUCCAUAGGAAGAACCUUUUGACAAUAACACGUCCCUGAUAAAUGUCAGAUUAUACUGCUGAACAGGCCUGAGGGAAGAAAUCUAUUCAAGGACGGAGCAGCAACACGGGCCUCACUGUGGAAUGACUAACUGCUGGGUCUACAGCGAGAUGCCUUGCCGUCCUCCUCUGGACUUCCACGAGAAACUGACCCGGCUACUGUGACUGUGGGGACUACUGACCAACGGGGGAGAAAGACUCUCACCAUCUUCCUGUCCCACAAGCCAGUACAUCAGAAGGACCCCCACUGGUAAACGUUACUGUACAACUGACUGCCCUUGAGUCCCCCCGGACUAUGCUGUGUGGAAUGGAAUAGGCUGGCUUCUGGACACACAUGUCCAACUAGUGGGAUUAACCGGGUUUUGUUUGGAAAGACCUAAUGGGUCCACCCCUGGGCUUC